rnacentral:lncRNA from 1 species
AAUAGUCCAGUCAGUCAGAGCUGGUGAAGUAGACUUGCUGUAGAAGGUGUGAAGGCCCAGUCCUCCCUCCACGUUUCUCCACCCUUGAAAGGUCGUGUGCAUGUCUGUUCACCCAUGAAAGAAGAGGAAGACACCAAAUGGAUGGCAUUGAUUUCAUUUUAAGGGCUGGAGAUCAAGACCUACCCAUUGUGAUGAAUAAAUCCAGGCUCUCAGCAAUGCAGGGAGAAAAAGUUUUGUCUAUCAACACUGCAGCAACCAGUCUCUUAGCACAGGCACCAGCCCUGGAGUUCAUGUCCUCAUCAAAGGAUGGAAAGAAGCAAAGCUCAAAUCAGCUUGGGAAGGACCUUACCUAGUGCUCCUGACCACUGUAACCAUCAUCCAGACAGCAGAGAAAGGAUGGACUCAUUAUACCCGAGUCAAAGUGUUGCCACCUCCACAGUCAUGGGCCAUUGUUCCAGGGGAAAGCCCUACCAAAUUAAAGCUAAGAAAAACUU